rnacentral:rRNA from 1 species
GACGAACGCUGGCGGCGUGCUUAACACAUGCAAGUCGAACGGAAAGGCCCUGCGUUUGUGGGGUGCUCGAGUGGCGAACGGGUGAGUAACACGUGAGUAACCUGCCCUUGACUUUGGGAUAACUUCAGGAAACUGGGGCUAAUACCGGAUAGGAGCUCCUGCUGCAGGGUGGGGGUUGGAAAGUUUCGGCGGUUGGGGAUGGACUCGCGGCUUAUCAGCUUGUUGGUGGGGUAGUGGCUUACCAAGGCUUUGACGGGUAGCCGGCCUGAGAGGGUGACCGGCCACAUUGGGACUGCGAUACGGACCAGACUCCUACGGGAGGCAGCAGUGGGGAAUAUUGCACAAUGGGCGGAAGCCUGAUGCAGCAACGCCGCGUGCGGGAUGACGGCCUUCGGGUUGUAAACCGCUUUCGCCUGUGACGAAGCGUGAGUGACGGUAAUGGGUAAAGAAGCACCGGCUAACUACGUG